ACAUGCUCUGAUUCGCAAUUUUAAAAGAUCCUUCUAGCUGGAGCAUAAAUCCUGAAACAGAUCUACUUUUUUUUCUCAGUAUAUUUGGUAACACAUUAAAAUAGAACCAGAAUCAAGCAAUCCAAUCAUUAAAUUUUUCUCCUAGUGGGUAUCUGGAAAACAGGUGCAGAAAUGGAUCAUCUGAGACACCAUAGAAAUCUGGUUAAUCCUGCCUGCCUGCUUUCCUU
rnacentral:lncRNA from 1 species